rnacentral:rRNA from 1 species
GACGAACGCUGGCGGCGUGCCUAAUACAUGCAAGUCGAACGCAGUGGGGACGGGUGAGUAACACGUGGGUAACCUCCCAUCAGAGGGGAUAACACUUGGAAACAGGUGCUAAACCGAUACUGAUGGAUGGAACCGCGGUGCAUUAGUUAGUUGGGGAGGGAACGGCUCACAAAGGACAAGAUGCAUAGCCGACCUGAGAGGAGGAUCUGCCACCCUGGGACUGAGACACGGCCCAGACUCCUACGGGAGGCAGCAGUGGGGAAUGUUGGACAAUGGGCGAAAGCCUGAUCCAGCCAUCCCGCGUGUGCGAUGAAGGCCUUCGGGUUGUAAAGCACUUUGAGCAGGAAAGCGGUACCUGCAGAAUAAGCACCGGCUAACUACGUGCCAGCAGCCGCGGUAAUUC